GGAGUGGAAGGGGUUUGUGCCCCAGAUCAAGCCCGGGUAGCCUGCUUCCCUAUGUACCGCAGUCUCAAGUUCCACGCGAUUGGAUUGGGGUAGGCGCUGUGUUCCACUCACCAGAGGUCUUAGGGUCCCGUGGGGAGUCCCGUGUGGGCCCUUGCGGGUGUUGGGCAAGACUCUGCUGUCAAGGUAGCCCGGGGCUCGAGUCUCGAGUCGAGCGGAAGGGACUUGUGCCCCAGAUCAGGCCCGGGUAGCCUGCUUCCCUAUGUACCGCAGUCUCAAGUUCCGCGCGAUUGGAUUGGGGCAGGCACUGUGAUCCACUCACCAGAGGUCUUAGGGUCCCGUGGGGAGUCCCGUGUGGACCCUUGCGGGUGUUGGGCAAGACUCUGCUGGCAAGGUAGCCCGGGGCUCGAGUCUCGAGUCGAGCGGAAGGGACUUGUGCCCAAUUCCUUGCUCUUAAACUGAAUAUGGCCUAUAAACCCACAAUCAGUGGGUAUCUUUAAAAUCAAUAUCUAUUUUAGCAAAUUGUUAGCAAUCAGACUCCUGCAAAGCCAGCCCUAUGGGCCCAGUGACAACAAGAUGAGGCAUCACUAGCAGCUGAGGAGAGACCCAUUCCCACAGUUGCUUCCUGACCCAUACACUCCUCCUGUGAAUGUGCUACACCCCUGAUAAAAGUCAUCUUCCAUACUCCUUUCUUUUUCUUCCACAUUCAUCUAGAAGGCCCCUCUCUAUCCUCUCCCCUGCUUUCCCUGAAUGAACUGUCCUAGUGAUACCUGUUGUACUGUGUGACUUUGUGGGAAGCCACAUGUGCCGUUACAGAGUGGCACUGACUAGUGCUGGCCACCAUGCAUAAGUUUGGACAAACAACCAAUGUGUACAUAUGCAGCAAAGUUUUUUACAAAGACACUGCCUGGCCCGGGCAUGAUAAUGAGGUUCUGUAAGGUACUGAGAGUAUAACCAAUCAGAUGUGAGACAUGCAAAUGAGGUAUGAUAAUGAGGUUCUGUAAGGUACUGAGAGUAUAACCAAUCAGAUGUGAGACAUGCAAAUGUAUGAUAAUGAGGUUCUGUAAGGUACUGAGAGAGAGGAGCCAAUCAGAUGAGGAACAUGCAAAUGAGGCUUAGUGCAUAACCAAUCCGGGUGUGAGACACGCCUCUCCUAGGCCUAUAAAAGCAGCACCAGUUCUGGGCUCGGGGUCGUUUCGCCUCUACAAUCAAGCUCUCCCAAUAAACGUGUGCAGAAGGAUCCUGUUGCAGCGUCGUUCUUCCUGGCCAGUCGAGCGCGCGCAAGAAGUGGUGCCGAAAACCCGGGACAAGAAACAUCUUCAGGCAGGAGCUAAGACCCCCUGUUACAGGGAGGAUUCAGAACUGCAUCACGGGGAAGUAGCAGUUAAUAAAGGUUCCUGCAAAACAGACUGCUGAGAAGGAGCCGGCGUGGAUUCAGAACUCUUCAGCUGGGGAACGGUGGUAAAGAAGUGUUCCUGCAAAACAGACUGCUGAGAAGGAUCCGGAGUGGAUUCAGAACUCUUCAGCUGAGGAACGGUGAUACCGGUAAGUAGAAAGAAAUUAAUGUGAGAGGCAUGCUCUCCUACAAAAUAGAUCUGAUAAUUGUUGCUGGGGUUGCUAUCUUUCUUGCCUUGAUCUUAUAUCAUGGCUUUAAUUGUCAACUCCCAAAAUGUAAAGAUACAAAAAAUAGUAUAAAAAAUAAUAAAAAGCAGAAAAUUAAGUCAAUUUACCCUCCUCUCAAGGACUCUGAGUCGUUAGAAUUGUCUAGCUCAGAGGAUUCCGAAUUAUCAACAGGAGAGGAGGAAGAUUUGAAGGAGGCUGCUGCGGAGUAUGAAGCAGAAAGAUCUGGUCUAAUAGGGAGGAGUUUCAGUGCUCCCCCACCUACACCGCCUUAUGCAAAUAAGAAAGCAAUUGGCAAUGGUCACUCUUUUUGCACUCCUAAAGGGUUGCAAAAAAUAUGUCAGGCUUUUCCUGUUUUUCAGGAUCAUGCUCAACAGCGAUAUUAUGAGCCAAUAUCGCAUAAACAAGUAAAAGAGCUAGCAGAGUCAGUAAGGACCUAUGGAGUUAAUGCCUCAUUUACUCAGUCCCAAAUUGAUAGAUUGGCUCACAAUGCCAUGACUCCUUUUGACUGGAUGAGUGUGGUAAAGGCAUGUCUUACGAUGGGACAGUAUCUAGAUUGGAAGUCUAUGUGGCAUGAUCUGUGUUUGAGUCAGGCCCGUGUUAAUGCUACUGCAGGGCAACAAGCAUGGAGCUUUGAAAUGCUUACAGGUCAGGGUAUAUGGACAAACAAUCAAUUAGGAUACCCAGUGCAGGUCUAUGAUCAAAUUAAUCAGGCAGCGGUGAAAGCUUGGAAAGCAUUGCCUAAUCGAGGAGAGGUAUCUGGUAACUUGACAAAAAUUAUUCAGGGAACUAAUGAGCCGUUCUCUGAAUUUGUGGUUCACAUGAUGGAAGCGGCAGGACGUAUAUUUGGUGAUUCUGAGGCCACAAUGCCAUUAAUUGAACAAUUAGUUUAUGAGCAAUGUACCAAAGAAUGUAGAAAUGCUAUCACACCAUGGAAAGGGAAAGGGCUACAAGCAUGGAUGAAAGCCUGUAGAGAAAUAGGAGGACCUCUUUCAAAUGCAGGGCUGGCUGCCGCAGUUUUGAUGGCACAAACAAAAGAAAUAACCUGCUAUAAUUGUGGACAAACAGGUCAUAUGCAAAAGCAGUGUACAAAGGGUAGAAAGAGUAGGUUUGAAAAGACAGAACCAGGUACUUGCCCAAAAUGUGGGAAAGGAAGACAUUGGGCAAAUGAAUGUAGAUCAGUCAGAGAUAUAAAAGGAAGGCCAAUACCUCAGUUUAAAGUGCAACAGCCAAAAAACGGGGUGAGGGGCCCCCGUCCCCAGGGCCCCCAAAUGUAUGGGGCAUUUCAGACCACAGUGUCCAUGAGGCCACCCAGAGACCGAGGAGAGCCACUCCGGGUUC
rnacentral:lncRNA from 1 species